rnacentral:rRNA from 1 species
GGGUUGUGAGGUUAAGCGACUAAGCGUACACGGUGGAUGCCCUGGCAGUCAGAGGCGAUGAAGGACGUGCUAAUCUGCGAUAAGCGUCGGUAAGGUGAUAUGAACCGUUAUAACCGGCGAUUUCCGAAUGGGGAAACCCAGUGUGAUUCGUCACACUAUCAUUAACUGAAUCCAUAGGUUAAUGAGGCGAACCGGGGGAACUGAAACAUCUAAGUACCCCGAGGAAAAGAAAUCAACCGAGAUUCCCCCAGUAGCGGCGAGCGAACGGGGAGCAGCCCAGAGCCUGAAUCAGUGUGUGUGUUAGUGGAAGCGUCUGGAAAGGCGCGCGAUACAGGGUGACAGCCCCGUACACAAAAAUGCACAUGCUGUGAGCUCGAUGAGUAGGGCGGGACACGUGGUAUCCUGUCUGAAUAUGGGGGGACCAUCCUCCAAGGCUAAAUACUCCUGACUGACCGAUAGUGAACCAGUACCGUGAGGGAAAGGCGAAAAGAACCCCGGCGAGGGGAGUGAAAAAGAACCUGAAACCGUGUACGUACAAGCAGUGGGAGCACGCUUCGGCGUGUGACUGCGUACCUUUUGUAUAAUGGGUCAGCGACUUAUAUUCUGUAGCAAGGUUAACCGAAUAGGGGAGCCGAAGGGAAACCGAGUCUUAACUGGGCGUUAAGUUGCAGGGUAUAGACCCGAAACCCGGUGAUCUAGCCAUGGGCAGGUUGAAGGUUGGGUAACACUAACUGGAGGACCGAACCGACUAAUGUUGAAAAAUUAGCGGAUGACUUGUGGCUGGGGGUGAAAGGCCAAUCAAACCGGGAGAUAGCUGGUUCUCCCCGAAAGCUAUUUAGGUAGCGCCUCGUGAAUUCAUCUCCGGGGGUAGAGCACUGUUUCGGCAAGGGGGUCAUCCCGACUUACCAACCCGAUGCAAACUGCGAAUACCGGAGAAUGUUAUCACGGGAGACACACGGCGGGUGCUAACGUCCGUCGUGAAGAGGGAAACAACCCAGACCGCCAGCUAAGGUCCCAAAGUCAUGGUUAAGUGGGAAACGAUGUGGGAAGGCCCAGACAGCCAGGAUGUUGGCUUAGAAGCAGCCAUCAUUUAAAGAAAGCGUAAUAGCUCACUGGUCGAGUCGGCCUGCGCGGAAGAUGUAACGGGGCUAAACCAUGCACCGAAGCUGCGGCAGCGAC